rnacentral:rRNA from 1 species
UACGGAAGGUGCAAGCGUUGUUCGGAGUGACUGGGCGUAAAGGGCGCGUAGGCGGGAUGGUAAGACGAUUGUGAAAUUCCUGGGCUUAACCUAGGGCGUGCAGUCGUGACUGUCAUUCUUGAAUGUUUAAGAGGUUAGUGGAAUUCCAGGUGUAGGAGUGAAAUCCGUAGAUAUCUGGAGGAACAUCGGAGGCGAAGGCGACUAACUGGUGAAACAUUGACGCUGAGGCGCGAAAGCACGGGUAGCAAACAGG